GUGCUUGCUUCAGCAGCACAUAUACUAAAAUUAAAAUGAUACAGAGAAGAUUAGCAUGGCCCCUGAACAAGGAUGACACUCAAAUUUGUGAAGCAUUCUGUAUAUUU
ensembl:snRNA U6 U6 spliceosomal RNA